AGGGUUCGAGUUCUGGCUCAGGAUGAACGCUGGCGGCGUGCAUAACACAUUCAAGUCGAACGGUGAAGCGCCUCGGGUGCGGAUCAGUGGCGGACGGGUGAGUAACGCGUGAGCAACCUGCCGUAUAGUGGGGGGAUAACACAGGGAAACUUGUGCUAAUACCGCAUAACACACGGAGAUCGCAUGGUUUCUGUGUCAAAGAUUUAUUGCUGUACGAUGGGCUCGCGUAUGAUUAGACAGUUGGCAGGGUAACGGCCUACCAAAUCAACGAUCAUUAGCCGAACUGAGAGGUUGAACGGCCACAUUGGAACUGAGAAACGGUCCAGACUCCUACGGGAGGCAGCAGUGGGGAAUAUUGGGCAAUGGGCGAAAGCCUGACCCAGCCGACGCCGCGUGAGGGAAGAAGGUCUUCGGAUUGUAAACCUCUUUCAGCAGGGAAGAAAAGAUGACGGUACCUGCAGAAGAAGUCACGGCUAACUACGUGCCAGCAGCUGC
rnacentral:rRNA from 1 species